UCGAUUCACUAUUUCUUUAACACAGCAUGUGCAGUCAUGUGUUCAAAGUGUCAGUCUUCUCUCUUAUACCUCUGAUGGGAGCUCCGCUACAACGUCAUCAUCGAGUUCCCUGAUGAGCAAAGAAGAAGAAAAUGGAAUUAAAAUGGCUUGGAUGGCUGAGCGGACGACCCAUAAACAGUGGCUAUAAUCCCCAAUGCAGCGGUCAUGGGUUUGAAUCCAGCCCAUGGUUAGUGACUGCACGUCUUUUACCCAUGUUUCAUCUCUUUCGCCACGUUCCUAUACAAUAAAAGCCCAAAAAAUCACUUUA